rnacentral:lncRNA from 1 species
AGCUUUGAAAUGUACAUGAAGAAAAUAUCUAAUAAAAACCUUUCUAUACAUGGCUUAAGAUGGGUUUCAUUAUGAAAGAGUAUUAAUUAGUGAAUAUUUCUUCAUAAUUAUUUUGCUGAUAAUUUGAUCUUUAUCAUUUUUCUACUAAAACAAUGAGUUGUACUAACUUAUUUAUAUGUGUAGAAUUAUGUUUGCAUCUCAGAAAAAAAUUCUUAUGCCCAUAGGUUUGAAUUUAUUUAAUGUACAUCUGUAUUUUAUUUGUUAGAAUUUUCUUGAAAAUUUUUGCAUCUAUGUUUUUCAGUAAUUUUAUUUGACUAUCUAUUGUGUUUGAUUGGCUUUUAUAUCAUGAUAAUACUGGUUUCACACAAUGGUACUCAAAUACACAUUUAAGUGCAGAAGUGUUUUCUUCAAAUUUAAGGGGAUUUGUAUAAUAUUGUCAUUGCUUGAUUUCUUUGUUUUGAUUUUUAUUGUCCAUAUUUAGUAUCAAUUACAUGUAAGCUAUUUAUUCCUGUGUCUUAUUCAUAGUGAGAUGUUUUAAUAACUAAAUAAUCUCAUUUAUUGUUCAAAUAUUUUGGUUUACUUAUUUCUCUAUACUUCAUCUAGAGUAAAUUAUAUGUUCCCAGCAAGGUAUCUAAUUCUUAUAGAGAGUAAAAAUAAAUAUAGUUCUAUGAGAGAAAUUUUCCCAGGCAAUAUUUGUCACAAAGCAAUAACAGACAAUAUAUAACAAUCAUAUUAAUUUAUUAAGAAGAAACGACGAGUAUAAACACAGACACACAUAGCACCAUAACAUCUAAAUCUAUAAAGUAAAUGUUGGUACAACCGAAAGGGGAAAUAAACAACCAUACACCAACAGUAGGAGACUUAAGUGUUCCACUUGCAGUAAUGGAUGAUACAUUCUGACAGAAAAAUCCAUAAGGAAACACAAGACUUAAACAAUGCCAUAAAUCUAAAUGAGCUCACCCACUUCUAUUCCAUAUUCCUUUUACAAUAAGGAAAUCUGCAUCCUUUUCAAGCACACACAAGUAUUCUAAAGGCUAGAGCAGCUUUUGUUAUAUCAAAUAUAUCAAGCUUAACACUGAAAUCAACACAUCUUAUAUAACCAUAACAGAAAAUAAGGAAAUCAAAAAUAGGAGGGAAUCUGGAAAAUUCACUAACAAGUAGAAAUGAAAACACCACACAUCUGCGGACAACAUAAAAAAUAAAAUGGUUCAAAGAAGUAAUCAAAAUUUGAAAAUAGAAUAUCUCUUGAGACAAACGAAAAUAAAAACACAACGUACUAAAAUGUGUUAAGUUCACAGCAACGCACACCUAUGGAAAAAUUAAAAUGACCUCAAUCUUACGUUAUGCAUUAAGAAACC